rnacentral:rRNA from 1 species
UACAGGGGGGGGCAAGCGUUGUUCGGAAUUACUGGGCGUAAAGGGUUCGUAGGUGGCCACCUAAGUCAGACGUGAAAUCCCUCAGCUUAACUGGGGAACUGCGUGUGAUACUGGAUGGCUUGGAUUUGGGAGAGGGAUGCGGAAUUCCAGGUGUAGCGGCGAAAUGCGUAGAUAUCUGGAGGAACACCGGUGGCGAAGGCGGCAUCCUGGACCGGUAUUGACGCUGAGGCGCGAAAGCUAGGGGAGCAAACGGGG